AGAAGCUUAGGUUACACUAACUUAAACCAAGAGCCUUCAAAGCUCUAAACAGAACACUCUUUCUAGCUUCUG
rnacentral:tRNA from 1 species